CCCUUAGAUGUUCUGGGCUGCACGCGCGCUACACUGAUGCAUUCAACGAGUCUAAAACCUGCUCUGAUAGGGGUGGGUAAUCUUUUGAAUGUGCAUCGUGAUUGGGAUAGAUGAUUGCAAUUUUUCAUCUUCAACGAGGAAUGCCUAGUAAACGCAAGUCAUCAGCUUGCAUUGAUUACGUCCCUGCCCUUUGUACACACCGCCCGUCGCUCCUACCGAUUGAAUGAUCCGAUGAAUAUCAUGGAUUGAGGAUGCAAGUAGGUUCGCCUAUCUUCAUCUUCGAGAAGUGAAGUAAAUCUUAUCAUUUAGAGGAAGGAGAAGUCGUAACA
rnacentral:rRNA from 1 species